GUGCUUCUUCACCCUUGCUCCAUACAAAGUGCACGCCGCAGCGACCCUCUCCAGCUCAGCUUGGAGAUCGCAGUGCCAAGUUUACCUCCCCACAUCUCAAACCCACGUCCUUCAUCAGCCACAGAGCACCAAGAGCAGCUCCUCCAGCCACGACCAAGCCACCUUUCCGGCACGGUCGGCUCACCCCUCAGUGCCAUUGCCCGAAGCCAGUGCCCGGAGUGCUUUCUCCCUCCAGGGAGGCACAGGGAUGCCGUGCCUGGCUUGGCACAGCCCUGCCCGAAGGCAGCGCCAGGCUGAGCCUACCUCCCCGCACGUGACCCCGUGCAACUGGAGCAACAUCCCUGCGGGAGGGAAGGAAGGAGGCGGCCGGGCUGUUAAGAAAUAAAACCACUGCAGAGCUGACUGCGAGAGGACGGAGACGAAGAGACAAGCUGGCUGGAAAGGACAGCUUUGCUGAGCCAGGGAGAAAAUGGUUUGAGUAAUUAUCAACGCCUGCCGCUACGUGGCCAGGAAGGUGAGGACCCUGUGCAGCCGGGAGCACCAAGAGCCACCACCCUGCCCGGCGCAGGCAGCCCCCCGCAGCCCCCACCAAAAUGUAAAGGCCGAAGUAGCAGCAGCCCCCCAAGCAAGAGCCUCGCUUCCCAGGAACAGCAACCCCAUCCAAGACCAGCCCUGCAGGUCCUGAGGAUAAAAGCCCUCAUGGUCCCCCCCGGAAGGCCAUGAGUUUUCUUCCCACCGAUUUCCCCAGGGAAUCCCUUUGCUGGUAAUCCCGCAGCCCAGGGAUUGGAAAAUACCAGCAAAUCUCUCCUGUAUCUGCUCUCAACACACAAGCACAGCAAUAGAAAAUGUCCCAAUCGGUCUCUCAUUACCAGAAUUUUAUAGCUGGUAGGAAAAAAUAGGUUGCCAAUGUGUAUCAGAUGCUCUGGGCACUUUUGGGCCCUAGAGUGCCAGGGGAAGAGCAUGAGCCAUUGCACCCCAGCAGCAAACUGGUUUUUUAUACUGUGAAAUGGAAUUGUGCUCCCAAUGAUAUCGGUAUGCGUUCAGACUAAAAUCAGUUACUGAGCUAUAGCAAGGGGUCUUAGAGCUUAAGUCUGCAGAAAUCCCAUGGUUUUGUACAACCCCCUUCUCUGUGCCCAGUAAGCUGUCCUUACUGGGCAGCCUGCACCGCGGCAUGAUGCGCAGCACCUCCAGAGCAGAGCACUGCAGGGACCACAGUGGGAUCCCCCUCCAGCGAACCCCACCCUGUCACAGAGAGCAAUGACAGCAGGAUCACAAACUCCGCAUUUGCGGGGAGGAAUCUGCCUGACCCCUUCCUGUGACUGCCCAAGCUGAACCAACAAUAAAGAUGGAUGAAAAGCG